CAAGAACAAGUUAUUGGUGUGGUUCAUGUGGGAAAUUCAGUACUUUGUUUUAGAGGACGAAAUAAAGAGAAGAAAUUUAUGUGAUGGAUUUCUAUAGAGAUUUGUCACAUGAAGUAUUUGAUGUGGGUAAGUCUAUUUUGAAUACAUCUGGUGUCGGGUUUGGUCUACUUUCAAUCACCAAAUGAUAAGGUGAGAUAUCUGAAUUCUGUUUA
rnacentral:lncRNA from 1 species